rnacentral:rRNA from 1 species
GUGCCAGCAGCCGCGGUAAUACAGAGGUCCCGAGCGUUGUUCGGAUUCACUGGGCGUAAAGGGUGCGUAGGCGGUCUCGAAAGUCUGAUGUGAAAGCCCCGGGCCCAACCCGGGAAUGGCAUCGGAAACUGCGGGGCUAGAGGGUUGGAGGGGGGACUGGAAUUCUCGGUGUAGCAGUGAAAUGCGUAGAGAUCGAGAGGAACACCAGUGGCGAAGGCGAGUCCCUGGACAACUCCUGACGCUGAGGCACGAAAGCUAGGGGAGCAAACAGGAUUAGAAACCCCCGUAGUCC